CAGCCGCCACGGUAAUACGAAGGGGGCUAGCGUUGUACGGAUUUACUGGGCGUAAAGGGCGCGUAGGCGGACUGAUAAGUCAGGGGUGAAAUCCCAAGGCUCAACCUUGGAACUGCUUUUGAUACUGUUUGUCUUGAGUUCGAGAGAGGUAAGUGGAACUGCGAGUGUAGAGGUGAAAUUCGUAGAUAUUCGCAAGAACACCAGUGGCGAAAGCGGCUUACUGGCUCGAAACUGACGCUGAGGCGCGAAAGCGUGGGGAGCAAACAGGAUUAGAUACCCGGGUAGUCCCUGUCUCUUAUAC
rnacentral:rRNA from 1 species